AACUACAGUUUCAACGGUGUUGUCUGAGCUACAAGCAACGAAUCAAAACUUUCAACAACGGAUCUCUUGGUUCUGGCAUCGAUGAAGAACGCAGCGAAAUGCGAUAAGUAGUGUGAAUUGCAUAAUUCAGUGAAUCAUCGAAUCUUUGAACGCACAUUGCGCCCCUUGGUAUCCCGAGGGGCAUGCCUGUUCGAGCGUCAUUUCACCACUCAAGCCUGGCUUGGUGUUGGGUGACGUCCCCUUUGAGGACGCGCCUCGAAACGCUCGGCGGCGUGGCACCGGCUUUAAGCGUAUCAUAAUCUUUCUGCUUCGAAAGUCGGGUCCCCGUCUGCCGGAAGACCUAC
rnacentral:rRNA from 1 species